CUUGGUCAUUUAGAGGAAGUAAAAGUCGUAACAAGGUUUCCGUAGGUGAACCUGCGGAAGGAUCAUUAAUGAAAUAAACCUGAUGAGUUGUUGCUGGUUCUCUAGGGAGCAUGUGCACACUUGUCAUCUUUAUAUCUCCACCUGUGCAUCUUUUGUAGACCUGGAUACCUCUCUGAGUGCUAGCCACUCAGGUUUGAGGAAUUGACUUUAUGUCUUUCCUUACCUUUCCAGGCCUAUGUUCAUUCAUAUACCCAUAUGUAUGUCUUAGAAUGUAAUCAAAUGGGCCUUAGUGCCUAUAAACCUAUACAACUUUCAGCAACGGAUCUCUUGGCUCUCGCAUCGAUGAAGAACGCAGCGAAAUGCGAUAAGUAAUGUGAAUUGCAGAAUUCAGUGAAUCAUCGAAUCUUUGAACGCACCUUGCGCUCCUUGGUAUUCCGAGGAGCAUGCCUGUUUGAGUGUCAUUAAUAUAUCAACCUUUUCAAAUUUUAUUUGAUCAGUGUUGGAUGUGGGGGGUUUAUUUUUUUUGCUGGUCUUCAUUUCUGAAGGUCAGCUCCCCUGAAAUGCAUUAGCGGAACAAUUUGUGGAUCGUUCAUUGGUGUGAUAACUAUCUACGCUAUUAACGUGAAACAGUUCAGCUUCUAACAGUCCAUUUACUUGGACAAUUUUUUAUUCAAUGUGGCCUCAAAUCAGGUAGGACUACCCGCUGAACUUAAGCAUAUCAAUAAGCGG
rnacentral:rRNA from 1 species